UUACCGGCGGUCUCUAAUUCGCUUGGUGCAGGUCGGGAACUGAUUAGCUUCGCUUGCAUAUGUACGUAUAUGUUUUCUCCUUAUUAUGCCAGAUGGCAAGUCUUGAUUGGUUGAGAUCGGACAGAAGCGAAUUGGAUCCCGCCUUGCAUCAACUGAAUCGGAGACCGCGGUGAAG
rnacentral:pre_miRNA from 1 species